rnacentral:lncRNA from 1 species
GGGUAUUCUUGGGUGGAUAAUACGGAUUACGUUGUUAUUGCUUAAGAAUACGCGUAGUCGAGGAGAGUACCAGCGGCAGGGGGGCAGCGGCCGCCCUCCCCAGCCCACCAGCUGGCCACUAAACGCCCGUGGUUGCCAAGCCUCUUGCAGCUUUUCAAAAUUCAUUCUCCUGUGUCUUCUCAUGACUGAUAACUUGGAAAGGAUAUGCUACAUAAUGUACAUAAUAAAAGUAGUAAUUUCAACAGAAAAUCAAGAUGCCACUCGAUUUUGCCAUGGAUUUAUAAAAAUGACACAUCAGACAACAGAAGCAUAUGAGAAAAAUUUGCUGGGUAUCUACUCACUUCAAUUCAAACAUUUGAAGAAAUUAUGAAAAUUCCGAUGAGUUUUUAAAGUUUGUGCUUGCUCUGGUGUAGUGUAGCCAUGCAUUGAUCUGUCAUCACAGCCAAAAGUGGAAACAAUUCAAAUGUCCAACAACUGACGAAAAGAUGAAGUGUGGUAUAUCCAUAUAAUGGAAUAAUAUGCAGACAUAAAGUGGAAUGAUUGACACAUGUUUACAACAUGGAUGAACCUUGACAACGCUGUGUUAAGUUAAAGAAGCCAGACACAAAAGGAUUGUCAACACUGUGGCAAUUGAAAAUAACAGGAAUAACUGUUUUAUGACAAAUGGACCUGAACCCUAUGAAAUGAAUUUGCAAGCACUGGCACAGUUAACAUAUGCUACAAACAACCAUCUUCAGACAGUGUAGCGAACCAACUGUGCCAGACUUAAACUGACGACCCUGAGGUGAAUCGUUCUAUUGCCACAACAUUUCUGAUCUUCAAGGCUCUCCAUGCUCCUAAACUCUUUUCUUUAAUAUUCUACAGUGUGUUUAUUUUCACGGCUAUAAAGUCAUACUCAGAUUUGCAAUGAUAUUUACUACCAUAUUUCAGAGUGUUUUAACUGAUGUUAGUUCAAAUCAAUUCUGGAGAAACUUUCCAGCCAAGGGAAUUGCAAGCUAGCUGGUUGACAUUGGAGGUCAAAUACUCCAGGGUAUGGGUCUCAAAUCACUUAAUUCUUCACAGCAAAUUAGAAACGGGACUCCAGCUGGUGCUAAAGAAUAAGACAGACUUGCUGUAUAAGGACAAGCUGCUGCUUGGAUUUCGAGUCUUUAUAUUCCUAAAAUAAAAAAUGUGAGACCCAAUUCCCACCCCCCAAUCUCAUUCUUUCAGAGUAAAAGAUUUCUUAACAACAGCAAAAAUCUGGCCACCUGAUUUCAAUACAUAAAUCUUGCCAAGUUAUAAAAAUAAAAUAUGAUUUAAACAGCAA